CAGUAGCCACGGUAAUGCGUAGGGUGCGAGCGUCAAUCGGAAUUACUGGGCGUAAAGCGUGCGCAGGCGGUUGUGUAAGACAGGUGUGAAAUCCCCGGGCUUAACCUGGGAACUGCGCUUGUGACUGCACAGCUAGAGUAUGGCAGAGGGGGGUGGAAUUCCACGUGUAGCAGUGAAAUGCGUAGAGAUGUGGAGGAACACCGAUGGCGAAGGCAGCCCCCUGGGCCAAUACUGACGCUCAUGCACGAAAGCGUGGGGAGCAAACAGGAUUAGAUACCCGCGUAGUCCCUGUCUCUUAUAA
rnacentral:rRNA from 1 species